rnacentral:rRNA from 1 species
GAGUUUGAUCAUGGCUCAGAUUGAACGCUGGCGGCAGGCCUAACACAUGCAAGUCGAACGGUAACAGGAAGCAGCUUGCUGCUUCGCUGACGAGUGGCGGACGGGUGAGUAAUGUCUGGGAAGCUGCCUGAUGGAGGGGGAUAACUACUGGAAACGGUAGCUAAUACCGCAUAAUGUCGCAAGACCAAAGAGGGGGACCUUCGGGCCUCUUGCCAUCGGAUGUGCCCAGAUGGGAUUAGCUUGUUGGUGGGGUAACGGCUCACCAAGGCGACGAUCCCUAGCUGGUCUGAGAGGAUGACCAGCCACACUGGAACUGAGACACGGUCCAGACUCCUACGGGAGGCAGCAGUGGGGAAUAUUGCACAAUGGGCGCAAGCCUGAUGCAGCCAUGCCGCGUGUAUGAAGAAGGCCUUCGGGUUGUAAAGUACUUUCAGCGGGGAGGAAGGGAGUAAAGUUAAUACCUUUGCUCAUUGACGUUACCCGCAGAAGAAGCACCGGCUAACUCCGUGCCAGCAGCCGCGGUAAUACGGAGGGUGCAAGCGUUAAUCGGAAUACUGGGCGUAAAGCGCACGCUGGCGGUUUGUUAAGUCAGAUGUGAAAUCCCCGGGCUCAACCUGGGAACUGCAUCUGAUACUGGCAAGCUUGAGUCUCGUAGAGGGGGGUAGAAUUCCAGGUGUAGCGGUGAAAUGCGUAGAGAUCUGGAGGAAUACCGGUGGCGAAGGCGGCCCCCUGGACGAAGACUGACGCUCAGGUGCGAAAGCGUGGGGAGCAAACAGGAUUAGAUACCCUGGUAGUCCACGCCGUAAACGAUGUCGACUUGGAGGUUGUGCCCUUGAGGCGUGGCUUCCGGAGCUAACGCGUUAAGUCGACCGCCUGGGGAGUACGGCCGCAAGGUUAAAACUCAAAUGAAUUGACGGGGGCCCGCACAAGCGGUGGAGCAUGUGGUUUAAUUCGAUGCAACGCGAAGAACCUUACCUGGUCUUGACAUCCACGGAAGUUUUCAGAGAUGAGAAUGUGCCUUCGGGAACCGUGAGACAGGUGCUGCAUGGCUGUCGUCAGCUCGUGUUGUGAAAUGUUGGGUUAAGUCCCGCAACGAGCGCAACCCUUAUCCUUUGUUGCCAGCGGUCCGGCCGGGAACUCAAAGGAGACUGCCAGUGAUAAACUGGAGGAAGGUGGGGAUGACGUCAAGUCAUCAUGGCCCUUACGACCAGGGCUACACACGUGCUACAAUGGCGCAUACAAAGAGAAGCGACCUCGCGAGAGCAAGCGGACCUCAUAAAGUGCGUCGUAGUCCGGAUUGGAGUCUGCAACUCGACUCCAUGAAGUCGGAAUCGCUAGUAAUCGUGGAUCAGAUGCCACGGUGAAUACGUUCCCGGGCCUUGUACACACCGCCCGUCACACCAUGGGAGUGGGUUGCAAAAGAAGUAGGUAGCUUAACCUUCGGGAGGGCGCUUACCACUUUGUGAUUCAUGACUGGGGUGAAGUAGAC